CUGGAGAUAACCUGGAGGUAAUCUGAGGUAUUCAGGAGGAUAAAGAAAAAAAGAUUUGUUAAGAUUUAAAUUAUUCUCAUAAUUGGAAUGGCAGGCUUAGUUCAGUGUAACAAUUGCUAUGCAUUUGUUUCACGUUCCACUUUUUGGAGGUUUGGUUGUUGUCUAAUCUGUAGACAGUUCUCUAUCUUGCGGCAGGAGAUUGUAUUUUUGAAGUCUGAGAUUUGUAAAU